rnacentral:rRNA from 1 species
GUCGUCAGCUCGUGUCGUGAGAUGUUGGGUUAAGUCUCGCAACGAGCGCAACCCUUAUUGUCAGUUGCCAGCAUUCAGUUGGGCACUCUGGCGAGACUGCCGGUGACAAACCGGAGGAAGGUGGGGAUGACGUCAAGUCAUCAUGCCCCUUAUGACCUGGGCUACACACGUGCUACAAUGGACGAUACAACGAGUCGCGAGACCGCGAGGUUUAGCUAAUCUCUGAAAGUCGUUCUCAGUUCGGAUCGUAGGCUGCAACUCGCCUACGUGAAGUCGGAAUCGCUAGUAAUCGCGGAUCAGCAUGCCGCGGUGAAUACGUUCCCGGGA